CUACUGAAAAUUGGUUUUGAGGGGAAGAUUUUUAGUCAUCUUUGUCAACUCAAGUUCUGUGGGGGAGUGAAGACCACACUCCAUAGUGAGCUUUACUCUUUAUGUGCAGUUCAUUACUAUUUUGUGGCCUAGAAA
ensembl:snoRNA